rnacentral:rRNA from 1 species
AUUGAACGCUGGCGGCAGGCCUAACACAUGCAAGUCGAGCGGAGCGGCGGACGGGCGGGUGAUGCCUAGGAAUGUGCCUGGUAGUGGGGGAUAACGUACGGAUACGGGCGGUAAUACCGCAUACUUUCAGUUGAGGCUAGGUCGGAUUAGCUAGUUGGUGGGGUACAGGCCUACCAAGGCGACGAUCCGUAACUGGUCUGAGAGGAUGAACAGUCACACUGGAACUGAUACACGGUCCAGACUCCUACGGGAGGCAGCAGUGGGGAAUAUUGGACAAUGGGCGAAAGCCUGAUCCAGCCAUGCCGCGUGUGUGAAGAAGGUCUUCGGGUUGUAAAGCACUUUAAGUUGGGAGGCGUUACCAACAGAAUAAGCACCGGCUAACUUCGUGCCAGCAGCCGCGGUAAUAC